rnacentral:rRNA from 1 species
CCUACGGGAGGCAGCAGUGGGGAAUAUUGCACAAUGGGGGAAACCCUGAUGCAGCGACGCCGCGUGAGUGAAGAAGUAUCUCGGUACGUAAAGCUCUAUCAGCAGGGAAGAAAAUGACGGUACCUGACUAAGAAGCCCCGGCUAACUACGUGCCAGCAGCCGCGGUAAUAAGUAGGGGGCAAGCGUUAUCCGGAUUUACUGGGUGUAAAGGGAGCGUAGGCGGCGGUGAAAGUCCGGAGUGAAAGACGAGGGGUUAACCAUGGUACUGCUGUGGAAACUGGAGGGGGUGAGUGCGGGAGAGGCAGGCGGAAUUCCUGGUGUAGCGGUGAAAUGCGUAGAUAUUAGGAGGAACACCGGCGGCGAAGGCGGCCUGCUGGACCGUAACUGACGUUGAGGCUCGAAAGCGUGGGGAGCAAACAGGAUUAGAUACCCCUGUAGUC